rnacentral:rRNA from 1 species
CCCACUGGAAACAGCGGGGUGCCGUAAGGAACCGGAUGACAGGUGCUGCAUGGUCGUCGUCAGCUCGUGCCUUGAGGUGUUCGGUUAAGUCCGUAAACGAGCGCAACCCAUGUCCUAUGUUGCUUUUUCAUAGGAGACUGCCGGCUCUAAGUCGGAGGAAGGUAUGGAUGACGUCAGAUCAGCAUGGCCCUUAUGCCUUGGGCUACACACGUGCUACAAUGGCCGGUACAAUGAGCAGCAAACCCGUAAGGGGGAGCCAAUCUCACCAAAGCCGGUCUCAGUUCGGAUUGGGGGCUGCAACUCGACCCCAUGAAGCUGGAAUCGCUAGUAACCGCAAAUCAGCUAUGUUGCGGUGAAUAAGUUCCUGGGUCUUGUACUCACCGCCCGUCACAUCAUGAAAGGUGGGGGUACCCGAAGUCGCCUUAGCCCUUCGGGGCGGGUGCCUAAGGUAAAACCACUGAUUGGGAUGAAGUCGUAACAAGGUAUCCGUAGGGGAACCC